ACGAACGCUGGCGGCGUGCUUCACACAUGCAAGUCGAACGGAAAGGCCCUGCUUGCAGGGUGCUCGAGUGGCGAACGGGUGAGUAACACGUGGGUGAUCUGCCCCUUACUUUGGGAUAAGCCUGGGAAACUGGGUCUAAUACUGGAUAGGACCAUGCUGUAGGUGGUGUGGUGGAAAGAUUAGUUUCGGUAAGGGAUGAGCUCGCGGCCUAUCAGCUUGUUGGUGGGGUAAUGGCCUACCAAGGCGUCGACGGGUAGCCGGCCUGAGAGGGUGGACGGCCACAUUGGGACUGAGAUACGGCCCAGACUCCUACGGGAGGCAGCAGUGGGGAAUAUUGCACAAUGGGCGCAAGCCUGAUGCAGCGACGCCGCGUGGGGGAUGACGGCCUUCGGGUUGUAAACUCCUUUCAGCCAUGACGAAGCCCUUGUGGUGACGGUAGUGGUAGAAGAAGCACCGGCUAACUACGUG
rnacentral:rRNA from 1 species